rnacentral:rRNA from 1 species
UACAGAGGUGGCAAGCGUUGUUCGGAAUUACUGGGCGUAAAGGGCGCGUAGGCGGCCUUCUAAGUCAGACGUGAAAUCCCCAGGCUUAACUUGGGAACUGCGUCUGAUGCUGGGAGGCUUGAGUGCGGGAGAGGGAUGUGGAAUUCCAGGUGUAGCGGUGAAAUGCGUAGAUAUCUGGAGGAACACCGGUGGCGAAGGCGGCAUCCUGGACCGACACUGACGCUGAGGCGAAAGCUAGGGGAGCAAACGGG